CGAAAGCCUGACGCAGCAACGCCGCGUGAGGGAAAGACGGCCUUCGGGUUGUAAAACCUCUUUCAGGAGGGACGAAGCUUCCGGGGUUUAAUAGCCCACGGGGUGACGGUACCUCCAGAAGAAGCCCCGGCUAACUACGUGCCAGCAGCCGCGGUAAUACGUAGGGGGCAAGCGUUGUCNGGAAUCAUUGGGCGUAAAGCGCGUGUAGGCGGCUUGGUAAGUCUGGUGUGAAAACUUGGGGCUCAACCCCAAGCCUGCACUGGAAACUGCCUCGCUUGAGUUCCGGGAGGGGAGAGCGGAAUUCCUAGUGUAGCGGUGAAAUGCGCAGAUAUUAGGAAGAACACCGGUGGCGAAGGCGGCUCUCUGGAACGGUACUGACGCUGAGACGCGAAAGCGUGGGGAGCGAACAGGAUUAGAUACCCUGGUAGUCCACGCCGUAAACGAUGGGAACUAGGUGUGGGCGGUGUCGACUCCGUCCUGCCGAAGUAACGCAUUAAGU
rnacentral:rRNA from 1 species